UUAUGUCAGGUGGAAACGUCUUGAGCAUUUCGACGACGUACCACGAGAAGCUUUGUUUUGAAACUUCUUCGCUGUGUAUAGAUUGCAUGUUUGUCUCGUGGAAACAGUGUUAUUUGUGCCAAGUGCUUGUAGAAUCGCAGUUUAUGCGAUGAUAUUUUGUUUUUAAGUUUAAUGUAUUGUGUACAAUCACGGUCGUUAACAAGAGGAAUGCACGCAGGUCGAGUAUUGUCAGUAAAAGCUUAUGUCAUCGUCUCUACAGUAAAGAAUGAAGACAAGAUGGUCAUGUAUCCCUAGGAGAAAUCAAUUCAUCUCCAUCAUCACGGCACUGAUGAUGGAGGCAGCAAGGACACAUCAGUAAACUUCUACAGGACUGAACGGCGGAACAACCCAGAAGACAGAAGUCUUCACUUUAUAUAUUAUAAUCCUGAUGGCCUUCCAAGUUCUUUUCUGAUAAAGGAUAAUAAUUUUGCAGAGUCUUUUGUUCAAUUAACAUUUUUAAUUUCAAUAAAUUGCUACUCUGUGCUAUAAUUUCUAUUGCACAAUAA